UAUUCUACAUAUAACAUCUUAAAAAGCGCCACUCAAAGUUUUAAAUCUUCCUGAUUUUUUCGGUAAUGUUACAUGUAUCGAACAAAUACUACAUGCAUUGGAGAAGACUUCCCUGACAUACUUAAAGAAUUUAACCAGAUAUGUCCCAAAAUUAUCAUGUAUAGCAUCAAAUUUUGAUCAUAUUUGAAAUCUGAUAAUAUGAGCUAUAGCCUAAAGUAUAUACCACAUCAACUUAUUAUCCUAAGCAUACUUUUUAAAAAUAUUAUUUCGAGAAUUCAUGAUAAUGACUAUCAUUUUUUUAAAAUAAAGAUACAUGUAGUUGUGAGUGCCCCGACGGCAUGGCUGGGGGAUUCACGCUGACUUAAUUUAUUUCAUGUAUGUAUACCGCAACUGCUGAAAUAUCUAAUGAUUUCAUUUUAAUUUAAGUAUAGGUCGUAAAUUGGAAUAAUAGCUAGCUAUAUGUGUACACAAUAAUCUAUAGUAUAAUUAAGCCAUGUUGAGAACUUCUUCUUUUAACAAGAAUUAUAUAUAUAUUUAGAAAAUUAAAAUUAUCAAAGCGAAUAUGUCACUUCAUGUUUAAUGAUAACGCACAAUUUAACUGCUUAUUGUUUAAGAACAAGAACCUUUUGCUAUCUAGUGAUAAUUCUGCUAUUGUAGUUGAUAAUGCUUCAUCAUCAAAGUUUGUCUUUGCCCCAGUGGGUAUACAGAGUGAACUCUUGUCCAGAUCCUAAAAAUAUAAGCCAGUGCAUAAAAGCAUCCAAAAGACUAAAUUGUUAUCAUAAUCUGACAUCAAGUAUUCCAACGGAACAAGAAAGAAUAUAUCAUUGCUUGCCAAGUUCUUUUCUCAACGAAACUGUAGAAUUUUGAAGCCGAAGUGUACCCAUUGAGUCAAGUAGUCUCUCUCUCUCUCUCUCUCUCUCUCUCUCUCUCUCUCUCUCUCUCUGUUUUCCAUCACAAAUGAAGCUAUUGUUAUGGUUUUUAUGAGAUAGAAAUGACAAUUAAUUUUGUAUAGUUUGUUAUUUUGUUUUUGUUAAAAUCAUUGUCAUGGCUGACGAUCUAUAGGAAACUGUCCUGUCUACAGUUAUGAGUUCGGAACAAGCACUACACCUAUUUCCUAUAAUUGUACUGAUUUUAUUUCUGGAUGUCCAACAGCGAUGUUUAAAUCAAAAGAUAUUAAUAAUAAAGGUUGCAGUAGCUUUACUGCAAGUUUUGAUCGAUGGAGACUAAAGUAUUUAAAGUAGUUCAAAGUUAUUAUGUAAAAGGGUUUUUGAAUUUUUGAAUCUAGGCUUUAAAUGUUAGAUUGGUUAUGUCUACGUUAGCAAAAUAGCAUAUCAAAUACUCAAUUGCAAAUGAAAAAGUCAUUGGCUUUGUUUUAUUUUUGUAGUUUAUCAAUUUUAAUCAUUUUUAAAAUAUCGAUAGUGAAAAUUGUUAAUUGUUAAAAACACAAAAGAUGUUUUAUGCAUGAUGAAAAUAUAUUUUGGGUUCGCUGUUCCUUUGCAGUUUUUUCACAGACUGUGUUGAUGGGUGAUGUACUAAAAAAGGCAAUCAUACUGUAAUAAUCUGCAAUGUUGAAAAUUCAAAAUGUACAAAAACAAUAUAUGUGGACUUCAAACACAUUUCAUUCACAAUUAGAAAAUUUAUUUAAAAAAUAAGAAAAAUAAAAUCUAUUGAAAUAGGAAAAAAGAAUAUAAAAAAGUGUUUAAUAAGAAUACCCUGGAUACAAAGCAAUUAAAUCUUACAUAAAUGAAUAGUUAAGGCAAGAUAGCUUGCGACCCCAUUUGAUAACUAAAAGAAAACCUAACAUGCGAAAAAGGGAUGUUCACUUUAAAUUUAAAAUCAAGUCUAACGUAAUGCUUGUUGUUUUUGUUAAAAAAAAUGUCUCUUUUGUUUCAGUUCCGAAGUGUUUGAAAUUAAAUCGAAAAUUGCGUUACUUGAAAGCCGAAAGAAACUGUACAAGUGUUUUAGUUACGGUGAUUUCAAACCGAGAAACUAAUGCUGAGAAACUCGUUUCAUUAUUUAUGUAAACAUUAAAUCAUUAAUAUACAUGUAGUAUGAGCUCUUAAAGGUGCAUGGUCACAAUUUUGAUCAAAAAUUAAUUUUCCGAUUUCAUUGUUUAAAAUAUUCUAGUAAGGCAUUUUAAUAGGCAACCGAAAUUUGAGUGUCAUUUUUUGAGUUAUAAGCGAGUAACAGUGCUUGCAAUUCUUUGCUAUGUAAACAGGACUUUUGUUUACAUUUUGAAUGUUGAAGUGAAAAUUCCUAUUUUAGACCUAAAAUGAAUGAUUUAAACGCAAGGGACUGUUUAUUUAUGCUUAAAAUGAAAAAGAAGAUAGAUAAAUCAGCUUGAAAAACAUUUUUAAUGGUAUAUUGUACCUUUUAUAUUUCAUUUGAUUUUUAAAAAUGCUUUCCUAAAGCAUUGAAAGUAAUGAAAACAGAAAAAUUAAAUUUGGGAAAAAUCGUGACCAUGUCCCUUUAAGGACUGUAAUAAGAAAUUGAUACCACCUGCCAAGAUCAGAAUCAGCAAAAUAAGAAACUGCUAAAAGUAAAAUUAUUGUUUCAACUAUUAAUUGAUACUUAAGCUUAAAAAAAACUUUGAUAGUGUUUUGGGGCAAUUAAUUGGGAGAUUAUUUUACUUGGUUGAUACAAAAUACAAAAAACUAAAACGAUGUAGAUAAAUUUAUUUUAUUUCAAAAGCCUAUUUGUUUUUUUUACUUGAAAAAUAUAAGAAAAGCGAACAACAAAAGUACUUUCUUUAUCUCCAGAUGUAUCUUUUCGACAUUGGCUGUUGUGGGAAUUUUUCUAUGUAUGUUAAUUUUUUUCUAACAAAACUCAAAUAAAUGAAACGGUUUUUUAAUGUUAAUUUCGUCAAACAGUUUGCAAUAAUAAAUGAUGUAUAUCUUAUUAUAACAUAUACGGAUGAUAUAUGAUUUGUCACGUUUGUACACUUGCCAAAAGACAAAGACAGUUAUCUAACAUUUAGCCAAGAUGAAACCAUUCAUAGUGACCAUAAUAUAACAGAUCGACUUCUUAUUUCAUAACAGAAAGAAAUAGAUGUCUUAACAUAUUAGUAAUAGCUUGAAUAAACUCACUAGUUUGGAAAUAUAUAAAAUAGAUGUAAAAUUAUUUAAUCAAAGUAUUGAUAAAGAGAAUAAAAUGAAAUGACAUAGACAAUUGUGUAAGGAAAAUCAGUUUUAUGUCCUCGUGGCAAAACAUAAUAAUAUAAAUAUAUAAAUGUUUUUUGAGUUUGAUUUUUUUGAUGUCUUGAUAGUUAUUUGUUUUAAGUCAAUCCCCCAGUAUAUUUAUAUUUUAUAAAAUAGAUUGGUAAAUGUUCACUGUAUCUAUUUAUUUGAUUAGAUAUACAUACAAUGUAGACGUUUAAUUUCAAUCUGCAUUGUCAAAAAAGUAGAACCUACCAUGAUAUGACCCGCUGUCAGUCGAUUUGCUGGUCUACCUUAGAUAUGUUUGAAAAAGACCCCCUGUUGUCUUCAAACGAGUUAACAUCUGAUGAGAAACUGAGCUUUUCUGUUCUGCAACAAAGUACUGAUACAUGUACUUGACAUAUUAAAAUUUAUAACAUAUUCAAGUAUACUUUAGAUAUACAUAUAAUAGUAUUUGUUUUUCAAACAUCAAAUCAGAGAUUUAGACACAAAGUUUCUCUAUAUAGCUAAGAGUAGAUCAGUACAAUGAAAUAUUUCCUAUAAUUCUACAAGUCUCAUUAAGUUAAAAUAAGAUUGACUGGUAUAUCCUAAGCUGUUAUAGAUAUACAUACUUUUAGUACAUUUUGAAGCAAGAGCUUUAAUUCUUAUGCAUUUCUAUGUAUCUUCUAGUAAUUGUUUUAAAUAAAGGUAAUUUUUUUAACUUAUGUACAAAGCAAUAAUUAAGAGUGAUAUCUGAACUGUGUAUACUACUAUAUAUCUAGUCAUCAAUAUAAUGUACGCAUCAUAAAUAUGUGAUAUGGUUUUUAUGUAUAAGAGGAAUUUUUCGUGACUUGAAUGUGAGAUAAAGGGGAAAAUAAUAAAUGCUGUAAUUCUGAAGCAGAUAUGACAUUAUUGUAGACUUAAUUAUUUGGAAAUGACUGGUAUUGUUGCUUUUUAUCUAUAAUGAAGAAUUAGUUUUGAUGGAUAUUAAAGUAUUGUAUUAUAAAAACUGUAGGUAUAUACAAUUUAAAAACGCUAUUAAUAUUUUCAUCUUUCAAAAUAUUGGAAGUUAAUGGAAAUAUCUUUAAUGUGUAAACACAUCAGUUAAAAAAUGCUUCUUUUAAACCUUUUUGAAAAUCGAAAAAUCUUUGCCAUAACAACAUGUACAAUAAGAAUCUGUAUCCUGGAAUUUGAUAAAAAUCUUGAAAACAGAAUUUUAUAAGUCAUAAAUAUUGAUUGUAUAAGUCAUAUGGAUUUAGAAAAAAAGAACUGAUGAUAAAUUGUAAGAAAGUUGUUUGUGUGAUGUGUAUGAUAAAAUUGUUUGUGUUUUGUAUACAAAUCAAUAAAUACUUCAAGAACUUU